AAAAGCCCAGGUAAAUGCGAAAAAAAAAGAGAAUCAUCGAGAGAAAAAGAAAAAAAAGGAAGAAAAUAAACUUGAGGGUUCAAAAGAAGCACGAGCCAAAGAAGGGCACUCAGUUGAAAAAUAAGAAUAGAAAAGAAAAAACCGAGCGAAAAACAAAAAGAGACAAUUUUAAAGAAAAACAAACCAACAUAGUGAAAAUAAUGGUAACAUUAACUCUGAACCAAAAACCACUUGUUUCCCAUUUUUUU
rnacentral:lncRNA from 1 species